UACGUAGGGGGCAAGCGUUGUCCGGAUUCAUUGGGCGUAAAGAGCUCGUAGGCGGCUUGGCAAGUCGGGUGUGAAAACUCCAGGCUCAACCUGGAGACGCCACCCGAUACUGCCAUGGCUUGAGUCCGGUAGGGGACCACGGAAUUCCUGGUGUAGCGGUGAAAUGCGCAGAUAUCAGGAGGAACACCGAUGGCGAAGGCAGGUCUCUGGGCCGAUACUGACGCUGAGGAGCGAAAGCGUGGGGAGCGAACAGG
rnacentral:rRNA from 1 species